GUUAGAAGCCACCGCUCCUCAGCACGAAGUGUUGCUUGGCCAACACAGUCUUAGGAAAUAGUGAGCUGGUUACCGGUGGUAGCAGAGACCACAAGUGGUUGCCCCCAGGCCCAUCCUUCCCUUCUUCAUUUAGUAAACACAAAAUCCCAGCUUUUGCCAGCACUCUUUUCACCUCCCUUGCAGCUCCAGGUGAUGAAAUGAGUCAAUUCUUGCUGAGAACAUGUAAGCAGAAUCAAAGUGCUAGGCCGACUCCUUAAAGGAAACGCUUUGUCUUUUUUCCCUUUCCUGCCAGUCAGAAUAUGGGUCCAACAGAGGUGGUGGUGAGUUAUUUGUGAAUAUGCAGACCAGGGCGACCCCCGAGGGGACGAAGGGAUCACUAAGAGAAGCAGCCUUGGUCCCUCCAGAGCAUCCCUCGACUACUCACGCUGGAACCGUCGUGUAAGAGGGAACUGAAUGAACUUUUUGUGUGUAAGCCACUGAAUUUUGGGGAAGGGAGAUGUGCAAAAACCAGUCAUUGUUUUUAUAGAUGACUCUGAUUCUAGUGUUUACUGCACUAAUGUAUUUAUCUACUUCUUUGUUCCCUUCUCUAGAAUAUUUCUUUCUUUCCGAGCUGCUAGCGUAGAGGAGGCAGUCCAUGAGUGUUUGUCAAAGCUGAAAAACCAUCAUGGUGUUACACAAUUUGUACUGUUAUGUCCCAUCUCCCACUUCCAAACGCAAGUCAGAUUCAAGCUGGCUCCAACAGGGACCCGCCAUCAGUCUAGGUGCUUUCCCUAAGUCGUGCCUAACUACCUCCAGGUCUCCCGGCUCUAAGGUGAAGGCAGCUUCUCAUGUACAGUCAACACUAGUGAACAAACACUGGGGAGAGAAAAAAAGAGAGGCAGAAACGUGGAAAUGAAUUAACACCACCAACUAUGGUGGGAGGACUUCAGUCUAAAGCAGAAAGGAGGAUAUGAAAUGGAGAAUCUCAUUCAAGUGCCUCCGAAGAACGGAACUUAAGAACAGAGAGCCUAAUUUCCUGGAAAUGCAAGACACAGCUUUACCUUCUGACCAGGGAACAUCUGCCAGGAGUCUCUCCUCAUCCUCAAGCCAAUGACCUUACUUUUUGAACCCUGGCUGGAUGACCCCAUCUUUGGACUCCUUGCCCAUACAUACAGGUCAUCCCAAAGCCCUCAUCAGAAUCCCCGGGACUUGCAAUAGCAUGUGUUUUCCAAAUUGCAAUUUCUCUGGUUUCUGGUAAUUCAAGCUUGCCUCAGUUUACCUUUUUAUUUAGACUGACACUAAUAAUGUAACUUUGGUCAGGUUAUUUAGUAUCUCUAGGCUACAGUUACCUAAUUUAUAAAAUGAGAAUAACAAUACUACCAAUGUUAGAGAUUGCUGGGAGGAUUAAAUGAGUUAAUACUACUAUCAUCUAAAUAUUGAGAAGUGCUUCAGGAAUAAUUAGCAAAUAGUAAGCAAUCUAAAUAGAUAACUUUUACCCUUUAUCAGUAGAUAUUUUUAAUGGAGCAAUAAAAAGUGAGGGGAGUUGAGAAGUAUGUUCCA
rnacentral:lncRNA from 1 species